rnacentral:misc_RNA from 1 species
GAUGAAGAACGCAGCGAAAUGCGAUACUUGGUGUGAAUUGCAAAAUCCCGUGAACCAUCGAGUCUUUGAACGCAAGUUGCGCCCGAAGCCAUUAGGCCGAGGGCACGCCUGCCUGGGCGUCACACGUCGUUGCCCCCCCAUCUACUCCUUCGGGAUUGCGGGGGGCGGAUGAUGGCCUCCCGUGCGCCUCGCCGCGCGGUUGGCAUAAAUGCCAAGUCCUCGGCGACGCACGCCACGACAAUCGGUGGUUGCGAAACCUCGGUUGCCCGUCGUGUGCGGUCGUCGCGCAUCGAGGGCUCGAAAAAAUUGCCGGGUUCCGGCUCGGCUUUCAACGCGACCCCAGGUCAGGCGGGGUUACCCGCUGAAUUUAAGCAUAUCAAUAAGCGGAGGA